GGACAUUCUCCAACUGAUCUUAUUCUCAAGUUGUCUGCAAUUCUUCAUGUCUCGGGUUCUUCUUCCUUCUCUGACAAAGCCUAUUCUCUAGAACUCUUCUCAGCUCAAACAAGUUUCCUCUCUGGAUGUCUUCAGCUUGUUUACUUCUUCAGUCAAAACAACCUCUGUAAAAUAUCUCUUAAAACCCAAUACGUUCCUUUCAACCGUAAUAGAUCUCUGUGAGAGUGUUCAGCUAGACUUGGAUAUACCUUCUCACAGCCGUUGCCUUGAGAAAGAUCCAAAAAAAAUAGGAGCCAUAACAAAGCAGAAUCCACAGAAAACAGAACACAAAAGAAAACGAGUAAAAGUGAUCAUCAGAGGCUUCACUUCAUGAGUUAUCCGUGAGUCCUCUGAUUAGGUGAGAAAAAUAAAAUAUCGAAUGUAGAUAUUGGCAUGAUUCUUGGGCGUUUCACAACAGAGACAAGACAUGCUCAGAUUAACAAUACCAAACAUGAAUGCAAGGUUAUAUCUCAACAAGCAACAAGUGGCCUUCAUUAUCCACUCCAAACAAAUCAACGAAUAUUCAAACAUCAACAAGAGACAUAGAAGAGUGAUAAACAGCCAAAAACCAUCAAUAAGCCUAUAGCAAUCAUACCUGAGGGAGUCUACUUUUUCAACAAAACCAGCAAGACUCCAAGUUUUACUCCAGAAAAAUCAGUCUGCUACCCUGCUUCCGGCCAAGCUUCCUCCUCUAACUCAGAGAACCUCUCUGGAAGCUCUCAACAGCAGCCUAGAAAAUUUUUGGUUCCCUCCUCUUACCCUCGUUUCUCUCUCAAACUAAACGGCCACAAAAAUCCCCCCUCAAC
rnacentral:lncRNA from 1 species